AGAGUUUGAUCCUGGCUCAGGACGAACGCUGGCGGCGCGCCUAACACAUGCAAGUCGAACGAGCGAGAGAGAGCUUGCUUUCUCGAGCGAGUGGCGAACGGGUGAGUAACGCGUGAGGAACCUGCCUCAAAGAGGGGGACAACAGUUGGAAACGACUGCUAAUACCGCAUAAGCCCACAGCUCGGCAUCGACCAGAGGGAAAAGGAGCAAUCCGCUUUGAGAUGGCCUCGCGUCCGAUUAGCUAGUUGGUGAGGUAACGGCCCACCAAGGCGACGAUCGGUAGCCGGACUGAGAGGUUGAACGGCCACAUUGGGACUGAGACACGGCCCAGACUCCUACGGGAGGCAGCAGUGGGGAAUAUUGCACAAUGGGGGAAACCCUGAUGCAGCGACGCCGCGUGGAGGAAGAAGGUCUUCGGAUUGUAAACUCCUGUUGUUGAGGAAGAUAAUGACGGUACUCAACAAGGAAGUGACGGCUAACUACGUGCCAGCAGCCGCGGUAAAACGUAGGUCACAAGCGUUGUCCGGAAUUACUGGGUGUAAAGGGAGCGCAGGCGGGAAGACAAGUUGGAAGUGAAAUCUAUGGGCUCAACCCAUAAACUGCUUUCAAAACUGUUUUUCUUGAGUAGUGCAGAGGUAGGCGGAAUUCCCGGUGUAGCGGUGGAAUGCGUAGAUAUCGGGAGGAACACCAGUGGCGAAGGCGGCCUACUGGGCACCAACUGACGCUGAGGCUCGAAAGUGUGGGUAGCAAACAGGAUUAGAUACCCUGGUAGUCCACACCGUAAACGAUGAUUACUAGGUGUUGGAGGAUUGACCCCUUCAGUGCCGCAGUUAACACAAUAAGUAAUCCACCUGGGGAGUACGACCGCAAGGUUGAAACUCAAAGGAAUUGACGGGGGCCCGCACAAGCAGUGGAGUAU
rnacentral:rRNA from 1 species